rnacentral:lncRNA from 1 species
CUGAGGUGAUUGCAGAGAGCAUUGCCUUGGCGCAGAAGCAACAAGGGGGUCCAAGGGCUGAGCUGACUAGCUCAGAACUGGCCCUAUUUGAGGAUGCCGAGGCAGAGCACUCUACUGCCGCUCCAGCGGCUGAGGAUCAGGCGGAGAGGUCUGCAUCAGAGCCUGUGGAUCAGGCAGAACUAUCUAUUGUAGUCCCGGAGGCUGAGGUGGAAACAACUGCCGCUGUUCCUGUGGUUGUGGUAAUUUUC